rnacentral:rRNA from 1 species
AUUGAACGCUGGCGGCAGGCCUAACACAUGCAAGUCGAGCGGAUGAAGGGAGCUUGCUCCUGGAUUCAGCGUCGGACGGGUGAGUAAUGCCUAGGAAUCUGCCUGGUAGUGGGUGAUAACGUCCGGAAACGGGCGCUAAUACCGCAUACGUCCUGAGGGAGAAAGUGGGGGAUCUUCGGACCUCACGCUAUCAGAUGAGCCUAGGUCGGAUUAGCUAGUUGGUGGGGUAAAGUCCUACCAAGGCGACGAUCCGUAACUGGUCUGAGAGGAUGAUCAGUCACACUGGAACUGAGACACGGACCAGACUCCUACGGGAGGCAGCAGUGGGGAAUAUUGGACAAAGGGCGAAAGCCUGAUCCAGCCAUGCCGCGUGUGUGAAGAAGGACUUCGGAUUGUAAAGCACUUUAAGUUGGGAGGAAGGGCAGUAAGUUAAUACCUUGCUGUUUUGACGUUAACAACAGAAUAAGCACCGGCUAACUUCGUG